AUUGAACGCUAGCGGGAUACUUUACACAUGCAAGUCGAACGGCAGCGCGGACUUCGGUCUGGCGGCGAGUGGCGAACGGGUGAGUAAUGUAUCGGAACGUGCCCAGUAGCGGGGGAUAACUACGCGAAAGCGUAGCUAAUACCGCAUACGCCCUACGGGGAAAAGCAGGGGAUCGUAAGACCUUGCACUAUUGGAGCGGCCGAUAUCGGAUUAGCUAGUUGGUGAGGUAACGGCUCACCAAGGCGACGAUCCGUAGCUGGUUUGAGAGGACGACCAGCCACACUGGGACUGAGACACGGCCCAGACUCCUACGGGAGGCAGCAGUGGGGAAUUUUGGACAAUGGGGGCAACCCUGAUCCAGCCAUCCCGCGUGUGCGAUGAAGGCCUUCGGGUUGUAAAGCACUUUUGGCAGGAAAGAAACGUCGCGGGCUAAUACCCCGUGGAACUGACGGUACCUGCAGAAUAAGCACCGGCUAACUACGUG
rnacentral:rRNA from 1 species